UGCGACCCCAGGUCAAGCGGGACUACCCGCUGAAUUUAAGCAUAUCAAUAAGCGGAGGA
rnacentral:rRNA from 6 species